GACGAACGCUGGCGGCGUGCUUAACACAUGCAAGUCGAACGGAAAGACGCUGCUCUUGCGCGGUGCACGAGUGGCGAACGGGUGAGUAUCACGCGUGUAUCCCGCCCUUGACUUUGUGAUAACUCCAGGAAACAGGGGCUAAUACCGGGUAGAAGCUCCUGCAGCAUGGGGUGGGUUGGAAAAUGUCGGCGGUUGGGGAUCGACUCGCGGCUUAUGAGCUUGUUGGGGAGGUAGGGGCUGACCAAGGCUUUGACGGGUAGCCGGCCUGAGAGGGUGAACGGCCACAAUGCGACUGCGAGAGGGACCAGUCUCGUACGUGCGGCAGUAGUGGGAAAUAUUACAGAGCGGGCGGACGCCUGAUACGAAAGCGUUGCGUGCGGGAUGACCGCCUACGAGUGAUAAACCGCUUUCUAAUGUGACGAAGCGUGAGUGACGGUAAUGAGUAAGGAAGCAACGGCUAACUACGUG
rnacentral:rRNA from 1 species